rnacentral:rRNA from 1 species
CCUUCGGGCGCUGACGAGUGGCGGACGGGUGAGUAACGCGUAGGAAUCUGCCUGGUAGUGGGGGACAACUUAGGGAAACUUAAGCUAAUACCGCAUACGCUCCUUAUUGAAAGAUGGGGAGGAAAGCGGGGGCUCUUCGGACCUCGCGCUAUCAGAUGAGCCUGCGUUAGAUUAGCUGGUUGGUGGGGUAAAGGCCUACCGAGGCGACGAUCUAUAGCUGGUCUGAGAGGACGAUCAGCCACACUGGGACUGAGACACGGCCCAGACUCCUACGGGAGGCAGCAGUGGGGAAUAUUGGACAAUGGGCGCAAGCCUGAUCCAGCAAUACCGCGUGUGUGAAGAAGGCCCUAGGGUUGUAAAGCACUUUCAACGGGGAGGAAAACCUGCCGGCCCAAUACCCGGCAGCUUGACAUUACCUGUAGAAGAAGCACCGGCUAACUCCGUGCCAGCAGCCGCGGUAAUACGGAGGGUGCGAGCGUUAAUCGGAAUUACUGGGCGUAAAGCGUGCGUAGGCGGUUGAUUAAGUCAGAUGUGAAAGCCCCGGGCUUAACCUGGGAACGGCAUUUGAUACUGGUUAACUAGAGUUUAGUAGAGGGGAGUGGAAUUUCAGGUGUAGCGGUGAAAUGCGUAGAUAUCUGAAGGAACACCAGUGGCGAAGGCGACUCCCUGGACUAGAACUGACGCUGAGGUACGAAAGCGUGGGUAGCAAACAGGAUUAGAUACCCUGGUAGUCCACGCCGUAAACGAUGUCAACUAGCCGUUGGUCCUAUUUACAGGAUGAGUGGCGCAGCUAACGCAUUAAGUUGACCGCCUGGGGAGUACGGCCGCAAGGUUAAAACUCAAAUGAAUUGACGGGGGCCCGCACAAGCGGUGGAGCAUGUGGUUUAAUUCGAUGCAACGCGAAGAACCUUACCUACCCUUGACAUCCAUAGAAUCA